AGAGUUUGAUCAUGGCUCAGAUUGAACGCUGGCGGCAUGCUUAAUACAUGCAAGUCGAACGGUAACAGAUUCUUCGGAAUGCUGACGAGUGGCGGACGGGUGAGUAAUACAUAGGAAUCUGCCCAUGUAGUGGGGGACAACUUGGGGAAACUCAAGCUAAUACCGCAUAAUUCCUACGGGAUAAAGAGGGCCACUGCUUGCAAGCUCUUGCUACUGGAUGAGCCUAUGUCGGAUUAGUUAGUUGGUAAGGUAAUGGCUUCCCAAGACAGCGAUCCGUAGCUGGUUUGAGAGGAUGAUCAGCCACGCUGGGACUGAGACACGGCCCAGACUCCUACGGGAGGCAGCAGUAGGGAGUAUUGGACAAUGGGCGCAAGCCUGAUCCAGCAAUGCCGCGUGUGUGAAGAAGGCCUGCGGGUUGUAAAGCACUUUCAAUUGGGAAGAAAGAUUAUGAGUUAAUACCUUAUAAUAUUGACG
rnacentral:rRNA from 1 species